GAACCUGCGGAAGGAUCAUUACCGAGUUUUCGGGCUUCGGCUCGACUCUCCCACCCUUUGUGAACGUACCUCUGUUGCUUUGGCGGCUUCGGCCGCCAAAGGACCUUCAAACUCCAGUCAGUAAACGCAGACGUCUGAUAAACAAGUCAAUAAACUAAAACUUUCAACAACGGAUCUCUUGGUUCUGGCAUCGAUGAAGAACGCAGCGAAAUGCGAUAAGUAAUGUGAAUUGCAGAAUUCAGUGAAUCAUCGAAUCUUUGAACGCACAUUGCGCCCCUUGGUAUUCCGGGGGGCAUGCCUGUUCGAGCGUCAUUACAACCCUCAAGCUCUGCUUGGAAUUGGGCACCGUCCUCACUGCGGACGCGCCUCAAAGACCUCGGCGGUGGCUGUUCAGCCCUCAAGCGUAGUAGAAUACACCUCGCUUUGGAGCGGUUGGCGUCGCCCGCCGGACGAACCUUCUGAACUUUUCUCAAGGUUGACCUCGGAUCAGGUAGGGAUACCCGCUGAACUUAAGCAUAUCAAUA
rnacentral:rRNA from 1 species